GGGCGAAUAGCUCAGCUGGGAGAGCACCUGCCUUACAAGCAGGGGGUCACAGGUUCGAGCCCUGUUUCGCCCACCA
rnacentral:tRNA from 11 species